rnacentral:sRNA from 1 species
GCUGGGCACGCUGGCGCACGCCUGUAAUCCCAGUGGCUUGGGAUGCUGAGGCAGGAGGAUCCCGAGUUCAAAGCCAGCCUCAGCAAAAGCAAGGCAUUAAGAAACUCAGUGAGACCCUGUCUCUA